rnacentral:rRNA from 1 species
GAUGAACGCUGGCGGCGUGCUUAACACAUGCAAGUCGAACGGGAAACAUUUUAUUGAAGCUUCGGCAGAUUUAGCCUGUUUCCAGUGGCGGACGGGUGAGUAACGCGUGGGUAACCUGCCUCACACUGGGGGAUAACAGUCAGAAAUGACUGCUAAUACCGCAUAAGCGCACGGGACCGCAUGGUUUUGUGUGGAAAACUCCGGUGGUGUGAGAUGGACCCGCGUCUGAUUAGGUAGUUGGUGGGGUAACGGCCUACCAAGACGAUGAUCAGUAGCCGGACUGAGAGGUUGAACGGCCACAUUGGGACUGAGAUACGGCCCAG